UACAAAACUACCAAAAUCUAGUAAAAUAUUAUGGCAGGCUGAGUGACAUGGCAGUUUUGUUUGAGUUUCACUAUGUUGCCGUGAUGGGUAGUAAUGCACUACAUUUCUCUAUUACAUGUACUUGUGUAUUUCUUUUAUAAAUUGUAUUUGUAAGAGUAGUUUCAUUAGAAUACUUGUGAUUAAAUGUAUGUACUUUUACUCAGGGAUAUUUGGGCACUUUUUCGCACUGUGAAAUUUAAUUAAUGUUCCGUUUCUUAUCACACGAGUGAAAAUUAAAACUGUAUUCCUUUUUUUAAUGCAAAUAAUUAAUUAUUCAGUUAUUAAAAUAAUCAUUAGUUGCAGCCGUUGCACACUGUUUUCAGGGGUUAAAGAAAAUUCCUCAUUAUAGUAUAAUAUUGUGGUAUUGUAUUUUUAUUGGUCAUACAUUCAUAAGUUUAGGUAUCUUUAUAAGAUACCUGUGCAAAAUCUGUGUAAUAUUUUGGCUUUUAUUUUCACAGAGCCAUAAUGUCAAAAAGGAAGAACAGGAUACAGCCUGUUGAUGAUGCAACAUCAUAUAUUCUGUCUUCGAGGGACAAGCCUGGAUUUAUAGAAAGAUUUAUUAAUAGUAACAAAGGUAUGGGACAGUGAAUCUUUGCAUGUUACACCACACAGUUGCACAGUAUAAAAUAUCUACAGUAGUAUUUAUAUAAACAAGCCUCUCUCACACAUACACAACAGAGGAAAACCGCUGAAUCCCCAGCUGGUAUUCCUCCGAUGUUGCUGUUUCACACAUGCAACACACAACAGAAGACUUUUCUGCCAGAGAGUAUUUAUGAGCUGUGGGUCAUUUUUUUAUUAGAAAAGUUUAGACAACUAAGUGUUUCUUCAAUUAAAUGUGUAUUUAAUUAUGUCCUCAUAGGAAGAGGAGUGUUUGUUACCCAGCCCAUUGAACCAGGAGCUUUCCUCUUGGAAUACAGAGGUGAACUCUUAUCAGUUGAAGAAUGCUGGUCCAGACACUACUCGGAGAAACAGAGUACAUUUCUGUUUGAAUUUGAAUGGGAAAAACGUCGCUGGGGUAUUGAUGCAUCAAAAGAAGACGGCUCUCUUGGAAGAUUAGUGAAUGACAAUCACAGAUCUCCAAAUUGCAUCAUGAAAAAAAUCAUAGUAAACAACACACCACAUAUGUGUCUAUUUGCUGUGAAAAAAAUAGAAAUCGGAUCUGAAAUUGAGUACAACUACGGUGAUUGGCGUAAAAUGGUACUUUGUUUUUGCUAAUUUGUGUAAAAAUGUGUUGCAAAAGUAAAAAUUGGUGAACUAGUGCACGACAGCUACUGUUUUAUGUCUGUCUCCAUAAUGCAUUGUGACUUGUUGAUAAGCAUUCAGCUAAACUUUAAAAAAAUGUCAUAUUUCUGAAAAAGAGCAAAUUGUGUCUGUCAGCAUGUAGUGUUUUAUUGUUUGUAUCUGAAUUCCAGCAAACAAACAAGCAGACUUCUCCUGUGGCAGCAAAUCGAGAUGUCCCCCAUAGAUGGUGCUUUGCAUGAGAAUUCAAACCAGAAUGAUGCUUGUGCACAGGUAACAAACAAGAUGGCUUCUGCUGUGGCAGUAGAGCCUGAGAUGUCCCCCAUACAUGGUGCUUCACAUGAGGAUUCAGACCAAGAUGAUGCUCAUGCACAGGUAA